GACGAACGCUGGCGGCGUGCUUAACACAUGCCAGUCGAACGGAAAGGCCCUGCUUGCAGGGUACUCGAGUGGCGAACGGGUGAGUAACACGUGGGUGAUCUGCCCUGCACUUCGGGAUAAGCCUGGGAAACUGGGUCUAAUACCGGAUAGGAGCCAUUUUUAGUGUGAUGGUUGGAAAGUUUUUUCGGUGUAGGAUGAGCUCGCGGCCUAUCAGCUUGUUGGUGGGGUAAUGGCCUACCAAGGCGGCGACUGGUAGGCGGCCUGAGAGGGUGGACGGCCACAUUGGGACUGAGAUAAGGCCCAGACGCCUACGGGGGGCAGCAGUGGGGAAUAUUGCACAAUUGGCGCAAGCCUGAUGCCGCGACGCCGCGUGGGGGAUGACGGCCUUCGGGUUGUAAACUCCUUUCGCUAGGGACGAAGCUUUUUGUGACGGUACCUAGAUAAGAAGCACCGGCUAACUACGUG
rnacentral:rRNA from 1 species